AGGUAACCGCCGGCCCCAAAGAGCGCACAGAUUCUCUGUUUGGGGUCGGCUAGUAUAUAUAAAAUUCUCCUGGGUGUGCCUUGGAAUGUGCAUCCCGGCACCCAGCUGAUUGGCUGGGCGGUGGAGGUGCCUGAUUGGCUGAAGCGCACCCAGGAGGAUUGGUCGCGGAGGCCAGGCAGCAGCAGGCCCGACCAGAGAUGAGGUGCCCGUUGGAGGCCAGGGCAGGAGGGAAACAGGUGGUGGGACUUCCCUGUCCGCUGCCCGGGAGGAGGAACAGUGGCGGGGCCCUUUUCAGCCACCCGGAAAGAAGGGCCUGUGGUGGUGGUGAGGUCCAGCCGAAAAUGGUUGCCCGCCACUCACUGCUGUAAAAUGCUAAGUGCGGGAGGACCCUGAAGAUGUACCUAUUUUCCCAGGCUUUCAACUGAGACUAAACUUUUAAAUUUUAAUGUGUCUUUAUCUAUUAUGAUUUUUAUCUUUUUAUGAAUUUUAAAUGUUUUAUAUAUUAUAUUAUGUUUUAAUUGUGUUACACCGCCUAGAGAUUUAUAUAUUAGGCUGUAUAUAGUGCUAUACCUGCAUUCAAUAAAACAUGUGAAUAACUGUA